rnacentral:rRNA from 1 species
CCUACGGGUGGCAGCAGUGAGGAAUAUUGGUCAAUGGACGAGAGUCUGAACCAGCCAAGUAGCGUGAAGGAUGACUGCCCUAUGGGUUGUAAACUUCUUUUAUAUGGGAAUAAAAUGUUCCACGUGUGGGAUUUUGUCUGUACCAUAUGAAUAAGGAUCGGCUAACUCCGUGCCAGCAGCCGCGGUAAUACAGAGGAUCCGAGCGUUAUCCGGAUUUAUUGGGUUUAAAGGGAGCGUAGGUGGAUUGUUAAGUCAGUUGUGAAAGUUUGCGGCUCAACCGUAAAAUUGCAGUUGAAACUGGCAGUCGUGAGUACAGUAGAGGUGGGCGGAAUUCGUGGUGUAGCGGUGAAAUGCUUAGAUAUCACGAAGAACUCCGAUUGCGAAGGCAGCUCACUGGACUGCAACUGACACUGAGGCUCGAAAGUGUGGGUAUCAAACAGGAUGAGAUACCCUGGUAGUC